rnacentral:sRNA from 1 species
AUACCCCAUGAUGCUCAGGUCCGCCGCAUCUCCUGGGUCGUGGGGUCGGUCGGUUGGUAUGCAACGUCAAAAACGGUUCCUCGUGCCGUGUUGUGUGCCGACCGACCCCCUA